rnacentral:rRNA from 1 species
GGGGAAUAUUGGACAAUGGGCGCAAGCCUGAUCCAGCCAUGCCGCGUGAGUGAUGAAGGCCCUAGGGUUGUAAAGCUCUUUCAACGGUGAAGAUAAUGACGGUAACCGUAGAAGAAGCCCCGGCUAACUUCGUGCCAGCAGCCGCGGUAAUACGAAGGGGGCUAGCGUUGUUCGGAAUUACUGGGCGUAAAGCGCACGUAGGCGGAUCGAUCAGUUAGGGGUGAAAUCCCAGGGCUCAACCCUGGAACUGCCUCUAAUACUGUCGAUCUCGAGUUCGAGAGAGGUGAGUGGAAUUCCGAGUGUAGAGGUGAAAUUCGUAGAUAUUCGGAGGAACACCAGCGGCGAAGGCGGCUCACUGGCUCGAUACUGACGCUGAGGUGCGAAAGCGUGGGGAGCAAAC